rnacentral:lncRNA from 1 species
CUUUCUUGGAAGUGACAUUGACGUCACCCACGCGAGCCAGUCAGGAGGCGCACACCUGCGCCUAGCGACAGUGACGUCACGACACAGAGGAGACCAAUCAGGAGGCCGGAAAGCUGCGACAGUUUCUGCUACCGGCAGAUGACCUUGACAAUGAGCCAUU